GAUGAACGCUAGCGACAGGCUUAACACAUGCAAGUCGAACGGAGCACCUUUGAAAGAGACUUCGGUCAAUGGAUGAGACUGCUUAGUGGCGGACGGGUGAGUAACGCGUGAGGAACCUGCCUUUCAGAGGGGGACAGCAGUUGGAAACGACUGCUAAUACCGCAUAAGACCACAGAGCCGCAUGGCUCGGGGGUCAAAGGAGAAAUCCGCUGAAGGAUGGCCUCGCGUCCGAUUAGCUAGUUGGCCGGGGUAACGGCCCACCAAGGCGACGAUCGGUAGCCGGACUGAGAGGUUGAUCGGCCACAUUGGGACUGGAGACACGGCCCAG
rnacentral:rRNA from 1 species